CACUCCAUCCAUUUUUCUUGCAUGUCCUAGCGGAUUUUCUCUGCGGCUCUCUCUGCGACUUUGCCAAAGCGGAUUAAUCUCUAGGAUCAAUGGCCGCGACUGUGCCCUAGCCGAUUUAUCUCUAAGGUUGAUGGUUAAUCAAGUAACGCCGGUUGUUUUCCCCUUUAAUUUUCAGUUGUGGAUGAAGUGGGGGUGGUGUUUUUUGCUUUCUUUGUAUGGCUAUAGUUUUAUCAUCUAUACAUCUCUGUACUUCAUAACUUAUCAUCUUGACCUGAAUGGUCAUAUUUAAGACAACAAAAGUUGUUGGAUUUCUUCAAUUUAAGUUUGUUGCAAAGCUUGAGUUUGAUUUUCGGUUAAAUUUGUUGAUGUAGUUGUUAUUUUCUUGAUUAUUUUCCAAAGAAGUUUUUAUUUAUGUUGAUGUUUGCUGCUGGAAUGCCCUCUUGAUGUUACAUUCUAAGUAUAUUUUCAUCCCUUUGCUACUGCUCUUUUGCUCUUUUUGUGUGCAACAAGUGAGUUUAAGUUUACAUUACAGAUUAUAUCUAAAAUGAAUCUAAUUGGUGUGUCGUUCUUCGUUUGGGUGUCUUUAAUGAUGACUUAUUUGCAUAUAUCAUUUGUGAUUUUUAAACAAUAAGAUAAGAGUCUCAAGGUAUAACUUAAUUUGUAGCAGCCCAUUCACCAUACUUACAUACAGUGGUUCUUAUUUUCACUCUUUCUCAAACAACACAUCUAUAUAGUUGGAGUGAAGUUCAUUUAGCCAAAAGUGAGAUUACAUCUAUGCUAAUAUUUUUUUAUUGCUUUCUUAAAUGUUGUAGAUGGCUUCUGAUUCACAAGCAAAGGGGAAAUCAAAAUAUUUCACUUGGACUAAUGAGAUGGAUAAAAUCCUCGGAGCUUGUUUCAAUGAACAAAUGAAUGAAGGAAACAAGCUAGAUUGAAAAUUUGCUUGGAAGUCUACCUCUUGGACCGCUGCUAUAUAUGCACUUAUGGUAAAUUUGAACAUCAAGGUGGAUAAAAACAAUAUACAAGCUCGCUUAAAGACUUGGGAGAAACACUAUGAUAUCUUGCAUCCACUAUUGGUAUCAUGCAAUUCUGGCAGCCCAAUCACGUGGCAUUAUACAACGGGUAGAUGAAAAUGUGUGCAGUGAAAGAUUAAAGGCAAAUUCAAAAAUUGGACCUUAUAGGAGAAGAAUUGUGAUAGAGAAUUGGGAUGAUAUGUGUACUCUUUUCUCUCAAGAUCGUGCUGCCGGCCAAGGUGCAAAAACACAUCAUGAAACACUGCAGAGGUUGAGGUUGAUUUUGCUACAAUUGGGGACUCAUUUGACAAGCAGUUUGAAGAAGAAGUUGAUGCUAUGAGUGAUUUGUUGGCUCGAAAAAAGGGUAAGGAGACAAUAUCUUCCUCAAGUUCCCUUGGACCGAAGAAGAAGACGGAUUCGAAGAUCAUAUCUGAUUGUAUGCAUCGUAUGUCCACUGGUUUUGGUGACUAUCUGUUGGUGGAGAGAAAGAAGGCUAAGCUUGAUAUAGAUCAGAAAAAACUUGAUGUGGAACAAAAAAAACUUCUUAUGGUGCAACAAAAAAUGGACCCCAAAGAAAUUUUAGCAGCAUUGAAGACUAUUGAUUUAGAUGAAAUGCAGAUGAUCAAGGCUUUGGAUUUUAAUGAUGCAAGAUGGCAUAUUAUUCCAUACAUUUGUUGGAAUACCAGUGGAGAUGAAAUACAAGUGGCUAAAAGUACAACUUGAUAAGUAAAGUUGUCUUUCCAAUUGAGCUUGUUUGAACUUGAAUAUGUUUUAUUAAAUCUAGUAGACUUUGUCUAUGAAGAAUAGUAGUACUACUUUUUUACUUUUGUUCUUAUACCACUUGAGAGGAUGCAAAUUGUAAUAUUUUAAUAUCCACUCAUAUAUAAGUAUUAAUUAUCAUUGCUUAUUAUUAUUA